rnacentral:rRNA from 1 species
UACAGAGGGUGCGAGCGUUAAUCGGAAUUACUGGGCGUAAAGCGUGCGUAGACGGCUAUCUAAGUCGGGUGUGAAAGCCCCGGGCUCAACCUGGGAAUUGCAUUCGAGACUGAAUAGCUAGGGUACGGUAGAGGGAAGUGGAAUUUCCGGUGUAGCGGUGAAAUGCGUAGAUAUCGGAAGGAACAUCAGUGGCGAAAGCGGCUCACUGGACCACAACUGACGCUGAGGCGCGAAAGCUAGGGGAGCAAACAGG